rnacentral:rRNA from 1 species
ACGUAGGUGGCAAGCGUUGUCCGGAAUUAUUGGGCGUAAAGCGCGCGCAGGCGGUCCUUUAAGUCUGAUGUGAAAUCUCGCGGCUCAACCGCGAGCGGUCAUUGGAAACUGGGGGACUUGAGUGCAGAAGAGGAAAGUGGAAUUCCACGUGUAGCGGUGAAAUGCGUAGAGAUGUGGAGGAACACCAGUGGCGAAGGCGGCUUUCUGGGCCAACACUGACGCUCAUGCACGAAAGCGUGGGGAGCAAACAGGA